UAGUUGGAGGCCCUGCGGUCUCUGACCUGCUCUGACACUCGCCCAUCUUCUCCACCUCUCCUGCCCUGUCCCACCAAAGAGGCACAGCUCCAGCCAUGAGAGGUCACAAAGCAUCAGAGAUGGUGAAGCUGGAGACACUGUUGGCCCUGGAAUGGACGGAAAUAGUGGCCAAGUAUGAGCAGAUGCACCAGUGGAUCUACAAGGGGAUUCCUCCACAGGUGAGAGGACAGGCAUGGCCUCUGCUGUUGGACCUGGAGAAAGUGAAGGCAGAGAACCAAGGGAAAUACCAGGUAUGGCCCCUAAACCUGUGCUUCAGGGACCCCUCACACAUCCCAAGCUUUCCUGGUACCUCCCAGGCUCACAGGCCCAAGGCCCACCUGCCAGGAAAGCCAUGUCCACCUCCUUGCUGCCUGUUCCCCUAGUCCAGUGCAGACACUGGGUCCAGAGUUGCACAGGUACCACCUGGCCCUAGAAUAAGACUUCCCAGAUACCUGAGGAGGACAGAGUCACAGAGCAAGGGACAGAAGCCAAGAGGAAAGAGUAAGGAGACCCCCACAGAAACCAUAGAAGGAGAUGGCCAGGCCAGAUGAACCCAGGCUUGGCUGACUUGGGACAAGAAACAGGUCUCAACCCAUUGACCCAAAGAGGUCCCUGCCCCUGGCCAGUUCCCACCAUUCAGCCCCAUAACCACGGUGGGUACCCCAGGUCCCACUGCCCAGGGAGGUUGCUCUAUGCAUCCAGGCUGGACACCAUUGGCAGGGUACAUGCAGUGGAAGUGGCAGUGACCGUGGCCAUGGUUAUCCAAGUGGCUUGAGGAUGGGCAGACUGAGAGGCCCAGAGCGUGGUCAAUAUCCACUGACACUGUGGGAAAAGAGCCAGCAUCACACUUAGUCCUCAGGCUCUCAAAAGGCCGUGAAAACCAGGCAUGGGCUCCCCUUCUGGCCCUCUGCCUCACCCAGCCUGUGUGUGGUGGGACUCAGAGGGGUCAAGGGACAGAGGCCCAGCCACCCUCCCAGCCUCCCCACUUCCCUGGGACACCCACACCUGGGAACAGCCUCCCAGGGGACAAGCCCAGGCCCGAGGUGGUGGCACUGUCAUCCUGGACUGCCUUGUGAGGGGUGGGUGUGGAGGGGAUCUGGUGGCCUG
rnacentral:lncRNA from 9 species